AAAUUUUCAAAUGGAGUUAGUUGUUCUUAGAAAGGUAGAGUAUCGAGUUACAAUUGUUGUGUUGAAGGAUUUGAAAUACAUUAGAGUGUGUUGCUGUCUAGUAUCACUUUGGUGCAAUGGAUCUUUAUUCUGAUAGUCAACCAUUGCUACAUAUCGUGGUUGAUCCCGGCCCGUGUUUCAAACGUAAAAUCUGAUUGUCAUUUCAUCAAAGACGAGAUACACGUCGGGAUUUUUAGGACAAAAUACUUUUCUAUGACUAUGACCGAACAAUUAGUGGAGCAUUUAGUAAACGACUUUUUCAGACGAUUAUAUCCAAGUUGAGCAUUUUCGAUCUCUAUAUUCGAACUUGAAGUGAUGUUAAGAAAUACAACUUUAUCAUGUAUUGUAGUGGUACAUAUUUCAGGUUUAGAGAUAAUUUUAUUAUGAGAUUAUCUAUAUAACUUAGACAAAUGAUUGUACACCUUUGAAAGAUCAUAAUAACAUUCUCUUUGUAUCUUUCUUACCACGGUGUUGCAAUUGGAUGUUUUGAAUUUUGAUAGAGGAAGAUGUAAACUUCAAGUAUUGUGUUACAAAAAAAGAAAAAGAAGUAAACUUCAAGUACAAUCACCCUACUUUUAGGAUCGAUUAAACUCGUUUGUGAGUGACAUCAGUUGACAACUUGGAAAAAGAACACAGCGUUAUUCUUUACAUUUGGCAAUGCCAACACUAAACAAUCUAAUUCUGUAGAGUUUACCGCAUAAUUAUUGAGAAUGUAUUAUAGAAGGCUUUUUGUCAAUUUAAAAUAUGUUUCCCCUCUAUAUGUGAAGCAUUGAAUUCUUCUAUUUGAUGGGAUAUAAACACUGUUUAGUCUGUUUAAACAAAUUCAAAGAUUCUGAACUCAUUACGUUGCAUAGAUAAGGGAAUCAUAGAUAAACACAACCAAAUUGAUAUAACAACAAGAAUCAUCAAAGAACAUCACUGAAAAAAAAACAGAGAACAAAAAAACUUAAAGAUUAGAGCAUGAGCCGAUAUAACACCUUUGUAGGUUCGAAGAGGAUCAAGCCUAUCCAUGACUUGCCGGUUCAACCCAACCGCUUUAGCCGGGCCAGUUUGGAGAAUCAACACAACCAUCGGUUAAUCAAGAGCAGGGAGUGAAAAUUGUAUUUUUUAAGCUUCCAUGGAAGCUUAUCUGAAGCUCCCCAUUUGGUUUCAACCUUCUAACUUUUAUCCAAUUUAAGGAGAUAUUGAUUAAGCUUCCAUGGCUAAAAAUGGGGAGAGAGAGCCUGUCUUCCUACUUCUUGUCUUUUU
rnacentral:lncRNA from 1 species